UAGAAUAAACUCAAAUAAAUUGUAUUCAAAAUAGUGUUUUUACACCUAAGAAGAUUAAUAUGGCACUGACAGAAGUAGAUAUUUUGAGUAGAGACCGUCCAUUGCUCAAAGAUGAGAUAAAGAAGAUCUCUGAGAAAUGGGAGAAGAGGAUGGCAAAAUCAGGCACUAUAGAGUGGCAAAGUCGCGCCCCUUCCGGUAGAGCCCAUGAGACCUAUGAGAUCGAAAAAUAUGAAUGGGUUUCAAUGGAGAGAAAGUAAUUAUUUUCUGUCGCAGGGAGGGCUACCCCCUCCUGGGUGUAGCCCACCCAGCUCAGCGUAGAGAGACGGAGCUCACAUACAUGCUUCCUGCUCUUACGAGACGCAGCCGGGAGCCAAGGUUUAACCGGAGCUGGUCUUAUCUCUGUGUUGAAGGCUGAACCUGGACCUGGUCCAGACAGAUACAAUCAGUAGUUAUAUGCCUACAUGAGGCCGUUGCACAAUUAACAGACGAGCUGAGCUGGUGACGUCAUCGAGUCCGCUGCUGUUCCAAUUGCAGGUGCGUGCUACCGUCCUUGGAAGUGUUUACUUGAAGUCCGGACUUGCCAAAUACGAACUUCCAACAAGUCCAUGAGUCCGUAGUUCGCGUACUUGGAAUUGAGAAACUGCCAGUGU